rnacentral:rRNA from 1 species
UACGGAGGAUGCGAGCGUUAUCCGGAUUUAUUGGGUUUAAAGGGUGCGUAGGCGGGCUGUUAAGUCAGCGGUAAAAGCCCGGGGCUCAACCCCGCCGAGCCGUCGGAACUGGGGGCCUUGAGUGCGGCGGAGGCAUGCGGAAUGCGCGGUGUAGCGGUGAAAUGCAUAGAUAUCACGCAGAACUCCGAUUGCGAAGGCAGCAUACCGGCGCUCAACUGACGCUGAGGCACGAAAGCGUGGGGAUCGAACAGG